rnacentral:rRNA from 1 species
AGUGAACGCUGGCGGUAGGCCUAACACAUGCAAGUCGAACGGCAGCACAGUAAGAGCUUGCUCUUACGGGUGGCGAGUGGCGGACGGGUGAGGAAUAAAUCGGAAUCUACUUUUUCGUGGGGGAUAACGUAGGGAAACUUACGCUAAUACCGCAUACGACCUACGGGUGAAAGCAGGGGAUCUUCGGACCUUGCGCGAUUGAAUGAGCCGAUGUCGGAUUAGCUAGUUGGCGGGGUAAAGGCCCACCAAGGCGACGAUCCGUAGCUGGUCUGAGAGGAUGAUCCGCCACACUGGAACUGAGACACGGUCCAGACUCCUACGGGAGGCAGCAGUGGGGAAUAUUGGACAAUGGGCGCAAGCCUGAUCCAGCCAUACCGCGUGGGUGAAGAAGGCCUUCGGGUUGUAAAGCCCUUUUGUUGGGAAAGAAAAGCAGCAGGUUAAUACCCCGCUGUUCUGACGGUACCCAAAGAAUAAGCACCGGCUAACUUCGUG